UACGUAGGCAGCAAGCGUUGUUCGGAGUUACUGGGCGUAAAGAGUGCGUAGGCGGUCUUUUAAGUUUGGUGUGAAAUCUCCCGGCUCAACCGGGAGGGUGCGUCGAAUACUGAGGGACUUGAGUUCGGUAGGGGAGACUGGAAUUCCUGGUGUAGCGGUGAAAUGCGCAGAUAUCAGGAGGAACACCGGUGGCGAAGGCGGGUCUCUGGGCCGAUACUGACGCUGGAGGAGCGAAAGCGUGGGGAGCAAACAGG
rnacentral:rRNA from 1 species